rnacentral:rRNA from 1 species
GAGUUUGAUCGUGGCUCAGGAUGAACGCUAGCUGGAGGCUUAAUACAUGCAAGUCGAGCGGGAUUGGUCAGCAAUGGCCAUGAGAGCGGCGCACGGGUGAGUAACGCGUACACGACCUACCUUUGACUGGGGAUAGCCCUGGGAAACUGGGAUUAAUACCGCAUAUAAUUCUGAUUAAUAAAGGAUUGGAAUGAAAGUUCAGGCGGUCAGAGAUGGGUGUGCGUCUGAUUAGCUAGUUGGUGAGGUAACGGCUCACCAAGGCGAUGAUCAGUAGGGGGC